GGUAAUGCCGGAUGCUCCAGUUGAUCGCAUGGUGUUCUGGGAAAGCCUUUGCGGCAUGGGAUGGGGUCGCGUCCUAUCAGCUUGAUGGCGGGGUAACGGCCCACCAUGGCUUCGACGGGUAGCCGGCCUGAGAGGGCGACCGGCCACAUUGGGACUGAGAUACGGCCCAGACUCCUACGGGAGGCAGCAGUGGGGAAUAUUGCACAAUGGGCGCAAGCCUGAUGCAGCGACGCCGCGUGAGGGAUGGAGGCCUUCGGGUUGUAAACCUCUUUUGUUAGGGAGCAAGGCAUUUUGUGUUGAGUGUACCUUUCGAAUAAGCACCGGCUAACUACGUGCCAGCAGCCGCGGUAAUACGUAGGGUGCAAGCGUUAUCCGGAAUUAUUGGGCGUAAAGGGCUCGUAGGCGGUUCGUCGCGUCCGGUGUGAAAGUCCAUCGCUUAACGGUGGAUCCGCGCCGGGUACGGGCGGGCUUGAGUGCGGUAGGGGAGACUGGAAUUCCCGGUGUAACGGUGGAAUGUGUAGAUUCGAAAAAAAACACC
rnacentral:rRNA from 1 species